rnacentral:tRNA from 1 species
UCGGCAGUCGCUAAUGGUAAGCACGCUGACUCUGAAUCAGCCGAUGUACGUUCGACCCGUACCUGCCGAGCCA